rnacentral:rRNA from 1 species
AGAGGAGCCUGUCCUAUAAUCGAUACCCCACGCUUUACCUUACCCUCCCUCGCCCACAUUUCAGUCUAUAUACCGCCGUCGUCAGCCAACCUUGUGAAAGACUUAAAAGUAGGCCAAAUCGCCACACGCAAAAACGUCAGGUCAAGGUGUAGCUAACGAGAGGGACGGAGAUGGGCUACAUUCUCUAAAAUAGAGAACACACCAGGUGCACAUGAAACCUGCACCAGUAAGGUGGAUUUAGAAGUAAGAGGGGUAAGACUAACCCCCCUGAAGCUUGCUCUG